rnacentral:tRNA from 1 species
CAAAAUAUAGUUUAUUAAAAUAAUAACUUUGGAAGUUAUAGAUCAAUCACAAAUUGUUUUUUGA